UAACUUUCUAAUCUUCAUCUUCUACCAGUUACUGAUGGUGAAAUCUGUCUGGUGGAGCCUUCUGCCAUAAGAGACAUCCAUGCAGUUGAGGAUGAAGACACCUUGUCAGCUGCCACAGAGAGAGAAGAUACAGAGAGGCCUAUUGAGAGCAAUGCUGCAAAUUACAAUGAGGAAGAGGGUCCCUCCACCUCCACAGCAUUGACCCAUGACUUACAAUGAAACUAAGUAGACCUGGCUUUGUGAAAUUCAAUGUCAUUUUUUGUGUUCCUAUAGCUCCCUAUGAAACAGCUGUACAAGGUCUACUUACAGAAACAAAUUGAAAAAUGUAAUUUAGAAAUUGACCACAAGGUUGCAGAUGCAAAAUAUAAAAAUAUAAAUAAAACUGCUAGAACAUCAGUUAAAGGUGGGUGAGGUACCCAC